rnacentral:rRNA from 1 species
GACGAACGCUGGCGGCGUGCCUAAUACAUGCAAGUAGAACGCACAGUUUAUACCGUAGCUUGCUACACCAUAAACUGUGAGUUGCGAACGGGUGAGUAACGCGUAGGUAACCUGCCUGGUAGCGGGGGAUAACUAUUGGAAACGAUAGCUAAUACCGCAUAAUAUUGAUUAUUGCAUGAUAAUUGAUUGAAAGAUGCUAUUGCAUCACUACCAGAUGGACCUGCGUUGUAUUAGCUAGUAGGUGAGGUAACGGCUCACCUAGGCGACGAUACAUAGCCGACCUGAGAGGAUGAGCGGCCACACUGGGACUGAGACACGGCCCAGACUCCUACGGGAGGCAGCAGUAGGGAAUCUUCGGCAAUAGACGAAAGUCUGACCGAGCAACGCCGCGUGAGUGAAGAAGGUUUUCGGAUCGUAAAGCUCUGUUGUAAGAGAAGAACGGGUGUGAGAGUGGAAAGUUCACACUGUGACGGUAUCUUACCAGAAAGGGACGGCUAACUACGUG